rnacentral:rRNA from 1 species
ACGGAAGGCAGCAGUGGGGAAUAUUGGGCAAUGGGCGAAAGCCUGACCCAGCAACGCCGCGUGAAGGAAGAAGGCCUUCGGGUUGUAAACUUCUUUUAUCAGGGACGAAGGACGUGACGGUACCUGAUGAGUAAGCCACGGCUAACUACGUGCCAGCAGCCGCGGUAAUACGUAGGUGGCGAGCGUUAUCCGGAUUUACUGGGUGUAAAGGGCGCGUAGGCGGGGAUGCAAGUCAGAUGUGAAAUCUAUGGGCUUAACCCAUAAACUGCAUUUGAAACUGUAUCUCUUGAGUGUCGGAGAGGUAGAUGGAAUUCCUAGUGUAGCGGUGAAAUGCGUAGAUAUUAGGAGGAACACCAGUGGCGAAGGCGAUCUACUGGACGAUAACUGACGCUGAGGCGCGAAAGCGUGGGGAGCAAACAGGAUUAGAUACCCUGGUA